AACAAAUUUGAGCAGCUUUAAGUUUUAACCCCAAAAGCAACCCCAAAAAAUAAGAGCAGAAUUUUCAUCUACAAUUCUCUUUCUGUGCUUUGCACCCUCAGUGGCUUAUACAUGGGGUCCUCCAUUGACAUGAAGUCCACUUCUUUAGUGCAGGGUCCAACCAGCCAAGCAAAAAACACAGUGGUGAAGGCUGCAAAAUAUUCCCUUGCAAAUUUAGACGGUGGCAGCAAUGUCCU